UACGGAGGGUGCAAGCGUUAUCCGGAUUCACUGGGUUUAAAGGGUGCGUAGGUGGGCUGGUAAGUCAGUGGUGAAAUCUCCAGGCUUAACUUGGAAACUGUCAUUGAUACUAUCAGUCUUGAAUACCGUGGAGGUCAGCGGAAUAUGUCAUGUAGCGGUGAAAUGCUUAGAUAUGACAUAGAACACCAAUUGCGAAGGCAGCUGGCUACACGAAUAUUGACACUGAUGCACGAAAGCGUGGGGAUCAAACAGG
rnacentral:rRNA from 1 species